rnacentral:snRNA from 1 species
GUGCUGAUUUUGGCAACACUUAUACUAAAAUUGGAAUGAUACAGAGAUCAGCAUGGCCCUGGGCAAGAAUGACACAUAAAUUCGUCAAGUGUUCUAUAUUUUU